UGGGGAAUUUUGCGCAAUGCUCGAGAGAGUGACGCAGCGACGCCGCGUGAAUGACGAAGGCCUUCGGGUCGUAAAGUUCUUUCGACAGGGAAGAAUGUGUAUAGUAGUAACUGACUAUACAGUGACGGUACCUGUAUAAGCAGCCCCGGCUAACUCCGUGCCAGCAGCCGCGGUAAUACGGAGGGGGCGAGCGUUGUUCGGAGUGACUGGGCGUAAAGAGCACGUAGGCGGUGUUGUAAGUCAUUAGUCAAAGACUAGAGCUCAACUUUAGUAAGGCUAGUGAUACUAUAGUACUAGAGUAUCAGAGAGGAUUGCAGAAUUCCUGGUGUAGCGGUGAAAUGCGUAGAUAUCAGGAGGAAUACCAUUAGCGAAGGCGGCGAUCUGGCUGGAAACUGACGCUGAGGUGCGAAAGCGUGGGUAGCAAACA
rnacentral:rRNA from 1 species